rnacentral:rRNA from 1 species
CAGCCGCCGCGGUAAUACGAAGGGUGCAAGCGUUAAUCGGAAUUACUGGGCGUAAAGCGUGCGUAGGCGGUUUGUUAAGUCUGUUGUGAAAUCCCCGGGCUCAACCUGGGAACGGCAAUGGAUACUGGCAAGCUAGAGUGUGUCAGAGGAUGGUGGAAUUCCCGGUGUAGCGGUGAAAUGCGUAGAGAUCGGGAGGAACAUCAGUGGCGAAGGCGGCCAUCUGGGACAACACUGACGCUGAGGCACGAAAGCGUGGGGAGCAAACAGGAUUAGAUACCCCGGUAGUCCCUGUCUCUUAUAC